GAUUAGAAAGCGAAUUUAUCGCAUUUAGUUUCGACCUAAACUUUGGACUCCAAGACCUCUAAUUU
rnacentral:tRNA from 1 species